rnacentral:lncRNA from 1 species
UUCUGUUCGCGUUUUGAAAUUCUCAGCAGUUCCGGUGCUGCACAUGUGUUCCCUGGAUAAGAAAGCAAUUUGAUUUUUUUGUUUCUUUCUUAAAGCUGAUAAUGAUGAUGACGAUGACAACCUACCCCAGGACAUGACAAUAAAUAUGACCUAUUCUGCUAAUGAAGCUGACAAUAGUGGGGGAAGAAAAGUAGAUGCAUUCAGUUCUGAUUCCUCCCAGCAUGAGUUGUCAGAACCAGGUGUGAAACCUGAAGUUGAGGUCACCCUUGAAGGUCAGUUCUUGUAAUUGAUUUCAGUUGGUUGGGCAUUUAUAUAUCUCAAACGUGGUUUCCCUAGCCUGCACUCUUUCACACUGAAUGAAGAGAAUUUUGUCCCAAAUUUGACUGUAGUUUGGAGUGUGCACUGCUUGGUAAAUGUUAGGAAGAAUUAGAAAACCACCAUAUACUGAAGCAUAUUGAAUUUACUGGGCUGGUUUUGAAAUUAUGCCAGACAGUAAAUUUCAUCUUUUCCAUAUUUUUCUAGUGUAGGCAAUCAAUAAUACUCGUUGAACAGAGUAGAUGUUCUAACAUUGAU